AACGAACGCUGGCGGCAUGCCUAACACAUGCAAGUCGAACGAGACCUUCGGGUCUAGUGGCGCACGGGUGCGUAACGCGUGGGAACCUGCCCUUAGGUUCGGCAUAACUCCCCGAAAGGGGUGCUAAUACCGGAUAAUGUCUUCGGACCAAAGAUUUAUCGCCUUUGGAUGGGCCCGCGUUGGAUUAGCUAGUUGGUAGGGUAAAAGCCUACCAAGGCGACGAUCCAUAGCUGGUCUGAGAGGAUGAUCAGCCACACUGGGACUGAGACACGGCCCAGACUCCUACGGGAGGCAGAAGUGGGGAAUAUUGGACAAUGGGCGAAAGCCUGAUCCAGCAAUGCCGCGUGAGUGAUGAAGGCCUUAGGGUGGUAAAGCUCUUUUACCCGGGAUGAUAAUGACAGUACCGGGAGAAUAAGCUCCGGCUAACUCCGU
rnacentral:rRNA from 1 species